rnacentral:rRNA from 3 species
AAUUUUUAUGGAGAGUUUGAUCCUGGCUCAGGAUGAACGCUGGCGGCGUGCCUAAUACAUGCAAGU